rnacentral:rRNA from 1 species
UACGUAGGGUGCAAGCGUUUAAUCGGAAUUACUGGGCGUAAAGUGUGCGCAGGUGGCCGCGCAUGUCGAGUGUGAAAUCCCCGGGCUUAACUUGGGGAAUUGCGCUCGAAACUACGUGGCUUGAGUACGGAAGAGGCGAGUGGAAUUCCUGGUGUAGCGGUGAAAUGCGCAGAUAUCAGGAGGAACACCAAUUGCGAAGGCAGCUCGCUGGGACGUUACUGACGCUGAGACGCGAAAGCGUGGGGGAGCAAACAGG